UCCGGCUUAUCACCGGCAGUCCCCCUAGAGUGCCCAACUGAAUGAUGGCAACUAAGGGCGAGGGUUGCGCUCGUUGCGGGACUUAACCCAACAUCUCACGACACGAGCCGACGACAGCCAUGCACCACCUGUCACCCAGUCCGAAGAGGGCUCUGUCUCCAGAGCUUUCCGGGCGAUGUCAAGCCUUGGUAAGGUUCUUCGCGUUGCGUCGAAUUACGCAACAUGCUCCGCCGCUUGUGCGGGCCCCCGUCAAUUCCUUUGAGUUUUAGCCUUGCGGCCGUACUCCCCAGGCGGGGCGCUUAAUGCGUUAGCUGCGGCACGGAACCCGUGGAAUGGAUCCCACACCUAGCGCCCAACGUUUACGGUGUGGACUAC
rnacentral:misc_RNA from 1 species